AACGAACGCUGGCGGCGUGCCUAACACAUGCAAGUCGAGCGAGAAAGCCCGCAAGGGUGAGUAAAGCGGCGCACGGGUGCGUAACACGUGGGUAAUCUGCCCUAGAGUCUGGAAUAACUCGCCGAAAGGCGUGCUAAUGCCGGAUGAGACCACGGGAGCUUCGGCUCCUGCGGGAAAAGGUGGCCUCUGUAUACAAGCUAUCGCUCUAGGAUGAGCCCGCGGCCCAUCAGCUAGUUGGCGGGGUAAUGGCCCACCAAGGCAACGACGGGUAGCUGGUCUGAGAGGACGAUCAGCCACACUGGAACUGAGACACGGUCCAGACUCCUACGGGAGGCAGCAGUGGGGAAUCUUGCGCAAUGGGCGAAAGCCUGACGCAGCAACGCCGCGUGUGUGAUGAAGGUCUUCGGAUCGUAAAGCACUGUCGCGAGGGACGAAUAAGGGUCGGGUGAACAAUCCGGUCCGAUGACGGUACCUCGAGAGGAAGCACCGGCUAACUCUGUGCCAGCAGCCGCCGUAAGAC
rnacentral:rRNA from 1 species